rnacentral:rRNA from 1 species
GACGAACGCUGGCGGCGUGCUUAACACAUGCAAGUCGAACGGAAAGGCCCUGCUUUUGUGGGGUGCUCGAGUGGCGAACGGGUGAGUAACACGUGAGUAACCUGCCCUUGACUUUGGGAUAACUUCAGGAAACUGGGGCUAAUACCGGAUAGGAGCUCCUGCUGCAUGGGGGGGGUUGGAAAGUUUCGGCGGUUGGGGAUGGACUCGCGGCUUAUCAGCUUGUUGGUGGGGUAGUGGCUUACCAAGGCUUUGACGGGUAGCCGGCCUGAGAGGGUGACCGGCCACAUUGGGACUGAGAUACGGCCCAGACUGCUACGGGAGGCAGCAGUGGGGAAUAUUGCACAAUGGGCGGAAGCCUGAUGCAGCAACGCCGCGUGCGGGAUGACGGCCUUCGGGGUGUAAACCGUUUUCGCCUGUGACGAAGCGUGAGUGACGGUAAUGGGUAAAGAAGCACCGGCUAACUACGUG